rnacentral:rRNA from 1 species
AUUGAACGCUGGCGGCAGGCCUAACACAUGCAAGUCGAGCGGAUGAAGGGAGCUUGCUCCUGGAUUCAGCGGCGGACGGGUGAGUAAUGCCUAGGAAUCUGCCUGGUAGUGGGGGAUAACGUCCGGAAACGGGCGCUAAUACCGCAUACGUCCUGAGGGAGAAAGUGGGGGAUCUUCGGACCUCACGCUAUCAGAUGAGCCUAGGUCGGAUUAGCUAGUUGGUGGGGUAAAGGCCUACCAAGGCGACGAUCCGUAACUGGUCUGAGAGGAUGAUCAGUCACACUGAAACUGAGACACGGCCCAGAUCCUGAGGGAGGCAGCAGUGGGGAAUAUUGGACAAUGGGCGAAAGCCUGAUCCAGCCAUGCCGCGUGUGUGAAGAAGGUCUUCGGAUUGUAAAGCACUUUAAGUUGGGAGGAAGGGCAGUAAGUUAAUACCUUGCUGUUUUGACGUUACCAACAGAAUAAGCACCGGCUAACUUCGUG